rnacentral:tRNA from 1 species
AUUCUUGUAGUUGAUAUACAACAGUGGUUCUUCAAGCCAUUGGUCUCAGUUUAAAUCUGAGCGAGAAUU